CGCGUAGGCGGCCUUUUAAGUCGGAUGUGAAAGCCCGGGGCCUAACCCCGGAAGUGCAUUCGAUACUGGAAGGCUUGAGUAUGGGAGAGGGAAGUGGAAUUCCUGGUGUAGAGGUGAAAUUCGUAGAUAUCAGGAGGAACACCUGUGGCGAAGGCGGCUUCCUGGACCAAUACUGACGCUGAGGCGCGAAGGCGUGGGGAGCAAACA
rnacentral:rRNA from 1 species